AGAUCACCACGGUGACUUGCAAGCAACUCACUAUACUUUGAUGCUGGACCAUUUAUAUUUCUAAUACAAUAACGAAAAUCUAUUGGGUACAGUCAAGUACUUGUGAAGUCUGUAUGUGAGUCAAGAUGGGAUUGACCCCUCCAUAUUAUAGGAGAUAAUGCUUUACUAUAUUUCAAUUUAGUAAAACCUUGGCUAAGGUAAUCCAUGUGAUAUGUCAUAGGAUUUGAAAAGUUAAAAUACAAUGUAGAUGACUGAUCCAGGAUUUGAUAGUUUACUCU
rnacentral:lncRNA from 1 species